AUGGAGUCACAGACACAGGUUUUCAUGUUCCUACUGCUAUGGGUAUCUGGUGCCUGUGCGGGUAUUGUGAUGACCCAGUCUCCAUCCUCCAUUGCUGUGUCAUUAGGAGAGAAGGUCACCAUCAGCUGCAAGUCCAGUCUUAUUCUUUUCGACAGUGAAUACAAUGAAAACUACUUGUACUGGUACCAGCAGAAACCAGGGCAGUCUCCUAAACUGUUAAUCUACCUGGCAUCCAAUCGGCACACUGGGGUACCUGAUCGUUUCAUAAGCAGUGGAUCUGAGACAGAUUUCACUCUCACCAUCAGUGGUGUCCAGGCAGAAGAUCUGGCAGAUUAUUACUGUAAGCAAUCUAAUGAGGAUCCUCCCACAGUGCUUCAGCCUCCAACAAAAACUUCUGAGAAUCUCAACAGCUGCCUGCACCACAGGCCACCUUGCACCUGCACAUUUCUCGCUUUUGCCUAGGAGACAGUGAGCUUGAAACCAUGUUCAAAAUGUU